AUUGAACGCUGGCGGCAUGCCUUACACAUGCAAGUCGAACGGCAGCACGGGGCAACCUGGUGGCGAGUGGCGAACGGGUGAGUAAUGCAUCGGAACGUACCUUUCAGUGGGGGAUAACGUAGCGAAAGUUACGCUAAUACCGCAUAUUCUGUGAGCAGGAAAGCAGGGGAUCGCAAGACCUUGCGCUGAUUGAGCGGCCGGUGUCAGAUUAGCUAGUUGGUGAGGUAAAGGCUCAACAAGGCGACGAUCUGUAGCGGGUCUGAGAGGAUGAUCCGCCACACUGGAACUGAGACACGGUCCAGACUCCUACGGGAGGCAGCAGUUGGGAAUUUUGGACACUGGGGGCAACUCUGCUCCAGCCAUGCCGCGUGAGUGAAGAAGGCCUUCGGGUUGUAAAGCUCUUUCGGCCGGGAAGAAAUCGCACGGGCUAAUACCCUGUGUGGAUGACGGUACCGGAAUAAGAAGCACCGGCUAACUACGUGCCAGCAGCCGCUGUAACAC
rnacentral:rRNA from 1 species